rnacentral:rRNA from 1 species
AUUGAACGCUGGCGGCAGGCCUAACACAUGCAAGUCGAACGAGUGGCGGACGGGUGAGUAAUGUCUGGGAAACUGCCUGAUGGAGGGGGAUAACUACUGGAAACGGUAGCUAAUACCGCAUACCAUCAGAUGUGCCCCGAUGGGAUUAGCUAGUUGGUGGGGUAACGGCGCACCAAGGCGCCGAUCCCUCGCUGGUCUGAGAGGAGGACCAGCCACCCUGGAACGGGGAAACGGUCCAGACUCCUACGGGAGGCAGCAGUGGGGAAUAUGGCACAAUGGGCGCAAGUCUGAUGCAGCCAGGCCGCGUGUAUGAAGAAGGCCUUCGGGUUGUAAAGUACUUUCAGCGGGGAGGCGUUACCCGCAGAAGAAGCACCGGCUAACUCCGUGCCAGCCGCCGCGGUAAUAC